GAGCGGGCGUAGCAAUACGUCAGCGGCAGACGGGUGAGUAACGCGUGGGAACGUACCUUUUGGUUCGGAACAACACAGGGAAACUUGUGCUAAUACCGGAUAAGCCCUUACGGGGAAAGAUUUAUCGCCGAAAGAUUGGCCCGCGUCUGAUUAGCUAGUUGGUGAGGUAACGGCUCACCAAGGCGACGAUCAGUAGCUGGUCUGAGAGGAUGAUCAGCCACAUUGGGACUGAGACACGGCCCAAACUCCUACGGGAGGCAGCAGUGGGGAAUAUUGGACAAUGGGCGCAAGCCUGAUCCAGCCAUGCCGCGUGAGUGAUGAAGGCCCUAGGGUUGUAAAGCUCUUUUGUGCGGGAAGAUAAUGACGGUACCG
rnacentral:rRNA from 1 species